CCAACAUUUUGCCCUCCUUUAACGCACACAGAAUUCAGGUUGAAAUUCCUUGUCCUUCAUCAUUUACAGCCACCUUGAGCAACCUUCACCUGCUAGAUGGUACACACCUCGGAGUAAGGACAGACUGAAGUUUUCUAUUGAUUUCCAGCUGCUGGCAUUGGGCCAGGAACAAGACGCAGGCUCUAGGAGGCCCGUUCGCUGACUUACCCAUAUAAAUCUUCACGACACAAAGCUCUCCUUCUUGUCGAGCUGGGAACCCACCCUCGCUUGCAUAAAAGUUACAGAAAAGUGACUUUUUUGAUUGCCGAGAGGUAAUCGUGGUAGAAAUGAUCCAAUUCCCCAUUGACAGCGGGCGCUAAAUGUGACUUCUGCCAGGAGAGAGUUUUAUAUUAAUAGAACAGCAAAGGUGACCUAGCUCUCCAGGCGCGGAGGGCCAGGACUCCGCAUCACUUGGGCCUGACCGUUAUUGCUGUGUCUGAUCCUGUCUUUUCCACCCGAAUCUUCCUUCGGAAGCUCAUUUCCUGCCGGCAAGUGCAAUACGUUUGAACAUGUGACCUUAAAAUAAUUUCAUCUGAUCUCUCGGUGACAGCGGAGAAGUGAGGCGAUCCUUUUUCCUCCCUGUUUGCGUCCUGUGAAGUCAAGGUGAGCCUGUCUGGAAGUGAUUUACCGAGACGAGACUGACUCCACGAGAGGAAAUUGCCUAUUAUUCAGAGAGGAGGGAAGAAAGGAAGGAUUUUGCUGCAGGGAUUCCCAUCCAGCGGCUUCUCAGAUCUCAUCUCUGCGGUAGUAACAGACGCUCCUGCAAAGGAUUGUUGCAGAUGACACAGAAACAGAAUUUGUACCUCGUUCCUAAAGCUUUCUCCCAUUGAAUAUACAUACGGGAACACCUUCCGUGGCCGUGGCCAAUUCGCGUCCCUUCAGCCCUGGGGAGUUCGGGGUGAAAUGAGGAAAUGGAGCAGUGGACAGGGCCGUCGGAACAAAGACUCAGACUUGGACCUUCCGUGCCAUCCCAAGAGUCAGAUUAACAAAGAGCUCCAGGAGGAAGCUAAAAUUAAGAGCACUGGGUCACUCUGGCCUGCUCUUUCCUUGUCACCCUGUCUCCAUUACCUUGGCAGAAAGCAUUAGGAUACAAGGAAAGAGGAAUCAGGACGUCCAGCUAAAGUCCGGAUGGAUAUUUCUCAGUCUGGAGACAUCUUAAUUGACGUGAAAAUCGUGCAACAGAAAAAUUCCAGAUCUUCGGCUGGAGAUUCCCUCCUGAGCUUUGAUGUUUCC
rnacentral:lncRNA from 1 species